AGUGAACGCUGGCGGUAGGCCUAACACAUGCAAGUCGAACGGCAGCACAGAGGAGCUUGCUCCUUGGGUGGCGAGUGGCGGACGGGUGAGGAAUACAUCGGAAUCUACUCUGUCGUGGGGGAUAACGUAGGGAAACUUACGCUAAUACCGCAUACGACCUACGGGUGAAAGCAGGGGAUCUUCGGACCUUGCGCGAUUGAAUGAGCCGAUGUCGGAUUAGCUAGUUGGCGGGGUAAAGGCCCACCAAGGCGACGAUCCGUAGCUGGUCUGGGAGGAUGAUCAGCCACACGGGAACGGAGACACGGUCCAGACUCCGACGGGAGGCAGCAGUGGGGAAUAUUGGACAAUGGGCGCAAGCCUGAUCAAGCCAUACCGCGUGGGUGAAGAAGGCCUUCGGGUUGUAAAGCCCUUUUGUUGGGAAAGAAAUCCAGCUGGUUAAUACCCGGUUGGGAUUACGGUACCCAAAGAAUAAGCACCGGCUAACUUCGUGCCAGCAGCCGCAGUAAUAC
rnacentral:rRNA from 1 species